CCAGACUCCUACGGGAGGCAGCAGUGGGGAAUAUUGCGCAAUGGACGAAAGUCUGACGCAGCGACGCCGCGUGAGGGAUGAAGGUUUUCGGAUCGUAAACCUCUGUCAGGAGGGAAGAAAGCGUAUGGCGCCAAUCAGCCAUGCGUUGACGGUACCUCCAAAGGAAGCGCCGGCUAACUCCGUGCCAGCAGCCGCGGUAAUACGGAGGGCGCGAGCGUUAUCCGGAUUUAUUGGGUUUAAAGGGUGCGCAGGCGGAUUUUUAAGUCAGCGGUAAAAUCGUGGGGCUCAACCCCAUCCAGCCGUUGAAACUGGGGAUCUAGAGUGUGCGAGAGGUAUGCGGAAUGCGUGGUGUAGCGGUGAAAUGCAUAGAUAUCACGCAGAACCCCGAUUGCGAAGGCAGCAUACCGGUGCACAACUGACGCUCAGGCACGAAAGCGUGGGUAUCGAACAGGAUUAGAUACCCCUGUA
rnacentral:rRNA from 1 species